rnacentral:rRNA from 1 species
UACGUAGGGUGCAAGCGUUGUCCGGAAUUUAUUGGGCGUAAAGAGCUCGUAGGCGGUCUGUCGCGUCUGGCUGUGAAAACUCGGGGCUUAACCCCGGGCCUGCAGUGGGUACGGGCAGACUAGAGUGUGGUAGGGGAGACUGGAAUUCCUGGUGUAGCGGUGAAAUGCGCAGAUAAUCAGGAGGAACACCGGUGGCGAAGGCGGGUCUCUGGGCCGUAACUGACGCUGGAGGAGCGAAAGCAUGGGGAGCGAACAGG